rnacentral:rRNA from 1 species
AGAGUUUGAUCAUGGCUCAGGAUGAACGCUAGCGACAGGCCUAACACAUGCAAGUCGAGGGGCAUCGGGACGUAGCAAUACGUUGCCGGCGACCGGCGGAUGGGUGAGUAACGCGUAUGCAACCUACCCGCAGCAGGGGGAUAGCCCGUUGAAAGACGGAUUAAUACCCCGUAACACAGGGGCUCCGCAUGGAGAUUAUUGUUAAAGGGUCAUUUCUUUUUCAGGGAUGGUCCGGCUGCGGAUGGGCAUGCGUUCCAUUAGGUAGUUGGUGUAGGUAAUGGCUCACCAAGCCGACGAUGGAUAGGGGAACUGAGAGGUUGGUCCCCCACACUGGUACUGAGACACGGACCAGACUCCUACGGGAGGCAGCAGUGAGGAAUUUUGGUCAAUGGACGCAAGUCUGAACCAGCCAUGUCGCGUGAAGGAGGACGGCCCUAAGGGUUGUAAACUUCUUUUGCAGUGGAAUAAAGUUUGCCACGUGUUGGCGAUUUGCAAGUACGCUGCGAAUAAGGAUCGGCUAACUCCGUGCCAGCAGCCGCGGUAAUACGGAGGAUCCGGGCGUUAUCCGGAUUUAUUGGGUUUAAAGGGUGCGCAGGCGGGGAAUUAGGUCGGCGGUGAAAUUUCGGGGCUCAACCUCGACAGUGCCGUUGAAACCGUUUCUCUUGAGUGCGGAUGAGGUAGGCGGAAUUUGUGGUGUAGCGGUGAAAUGCGUAGAUAUCACAAGGAACACCGAUUGCGGAGGCAGCUUACUAAACCGUUACUGACGCUCAUGCACGAAGGCGUGGGGAUCAAACAGGAUUAGAUACCCUGGUAGUCCACGCAGUAAACGAUGAUUACUUGCUGUUUGCGAUACACAGUAAGCGGCGAAGCGAAAGCGUUAAGUAAUCCACCUGGGGAGUACGUUCGCAAGAUGAACUCAAGGAAUUGACGGGGCCCGCACAGCGGAGA